AUGAGAAAUAACUUUCUCUACAUUCUCUGUUAAGCAUAUCCAAGUAUCUUUCGAGAGGAUUGAAGAUCCUACUAUGUGUAUGAGAUGGAGGAGGAAUACACGUCUACAGGCUCAUCAUGAUAAAUAGGUUCUUAAGGUCCCAAGGCUUGCUGCUCUUCAGAAACACUCUCUUCGAGCUUAACUUUUCUCUCACUACUUCAUCUUGGUUAAAUAAUUUUCUAAGAAGAUAGCAUAUCGAGUCA
rnacentral:lncRNA from 1 species